AUGCUGGCUUCGGCAGCACCUAUACUAAAAUUGUAAAGAUAUGGAAAAGAUUAGCAUGGUCCCUGAAUACGAAUAAAUGCAAAUUUGGGAAGCAUUCCACAUUUUU